GAGUGAAAAGGCUCUCAGUGUCUGAGUUAAAUGAAAUCCUAGAAGAAAUUGAGACUGCCAUUAAGGAGUACUCUGAGGAGCUGGUGCAGCAGUUGGCUUUACGAGAUGAACUGGAGUUUGAAAAGGAAGUGAAAAACAGCUUUAUUUCUGUUCUUAUUGAAGUGCAAAACAAACAGAAAGAGCACAAAGAAACAGCAAAAAAGAAAAAGAAGCUAAAAAAUGGCAGCUCUCAGAAUGGGAAGAAUGAGAGAAGUCAUAUGCCUGGCACAGUAAGUGAUGUUUUGCAGGAGGUGUCGAACGCUGGAAACAGGUUCCGUGGUAGUCCCGGCCUUCCGGGCUGGUGGCAGGUGCGACAGGUUGUACAUGGGCAGGAGUAUUACACUUCUAAUCAGAGCCCAGGGGGAUUUUAUUCCAGAAUAGCACUGUGCUCAGUUUCUUCAGAAAGCCGUUUUCUUGACUAA